rnacentral:sRNA from 1 species
GCCCCACACACAGGGGAGAAACCAGUGUCUCCGUGUCUCUCUCAGUGUCUCUCUCCUCGUGUCUCUUCCCUCGAGUUGCAGCUGCCAGCCAUUGUUUGAUAUGGAAAUCGUUCAGUUCGCUGGAAACUUUCAACGGGAAGCAGAACGGGCCGCAGAGUUACCACACGAUGCGAAGGGUUAAUUAAUGCGCUGACUCAUCUGUUUAUUUACUCUUGGGGAAAAGAUUUCUUGAUACAACUAGAUCAUAUACUACUCAUAUACAAGGAAGGUCAUUCAUGGUUCCCAUCAUUGGGAAGAGAGAGGCGAAAAGAAAAAGGAAACGAAAAGAAGCGCCAUAAGCCGCUUUUGUCAAACCAGCUGUCAACCCAAAAUGGAAAAAGCAGAUGCAACAGCAACAAACCUAAAAAAAUUAUAUAAAGUAAACCCAUAAUAUAGAAAGAAGAAAACAAUUUGCGGGAAAAAAAAGAAAAGAAAAAAAGAGAAAGUAAGAAAGCAAGAAAUGAAGAAAAAUUCCAACAGGGCGAAUUUAAACAACCAUUCCCGCAACCGCAACCACAACCCCGGCUACAAUAUCAUACACCAACCCUUUCCCUCUCGCCGCAACAACCCC